UUUCAUUGCUGAGUGAUAUUGCAUUCUACAGUGGACCCCAACAAGUGUCCCCCUGCCCAGUGUCAUUGGGGCCAACAGAUCGAGACUGAGUUUGGUUCACAAGCAAAGGAAACUUUAUAUUUUGAUCAGAGAAUGGAGAGUUAGAAUCAUCAUACCUGAAUCCACUCAUUGUGCUGCUACGGGCCUGAUGACAUAGAUUUCAUUGCUGAGUGAUAUUGCAUUUUAGAAUCAUCAUACCUGAAUCCACUCAUUGUGCUGCUACGGGCCUGAUGACAUAGAUUUCAUUGCUGAGUGAUAUUGC